AGCUUAUCGAUGAUGGUGAUUAAAAAAAAAUGCCGGAACUAUGCGUUCAGUAGUGAUUUCACCAUUUCUCUGAGAUACGCU